GAUUUGUUUCUAACACAUGGUAUAUUAGGAACAUUAUACGUGUGCACAUUUCGCUUCAUGCAUAAUUCAAAUAUGUUAAUGUAUAACUGAGUUGCGUUCUUCUACUUGGGGCAUUUCAAUUUUGCAUUUAUUAUAUAUUUAUAUAACAAUUUCUUCUUUUUUCUUUACUUCUAGUUGUUUUCCUUAAUUUCUCUUGAUCAUAUUCAAUUCCGUGUUACAUUACACACAUAUACGAGUAGUUCUUAUCAAUAUGUGUCUGUUAUCUAAUAUUAAAGAAAAAAUGCAACAUUAUUUAUUUUGUGCACCAUAUUUAUAUUAAACUUAUUUUCUAAAUAAAAAAGGUUAAUUCUUUUCGUUCCGCAGGAUAAUAGAGCCGUUUAUUUUGAAAGUGACCUAACUCCGUUUUUUAAAUUUUUGCCGGUUACCAUGGUUACAUGUACAACUUCAUGUUAUUUAUCAGUGACGCACUUCAGAUUGCUUAUAUUCAGAGAAAAUACGGUACAUUUUUUACACAUAAGUUUUCCGAAUUAAUUGAAUAACUGAGCCGUGCAGUUUGAAAGUGGCCUAACUCCAUUUAUAGUUACAUCAAGAUAUUUACUAUUGAUAAUGUCGGAAAGCAGCGAUGAAGAAAUUAUUGCACCCAUGAGGAAGAACCGAAGAAGACCACUUAGUUCAGAUAGUGAAAAAGAAAUAGUUAUUAAUAAAAAAAAGCGAAUAAGAAAAAGAGUUAUAAAACAAUAUUCCUCGUCAGAGGAUGAAGAUUCAAAUAACAAUGGAGAAAAGAUUGAUGAACCAUAUAUCCAAAAAGUGCGAAAGAUAAAACGGAAUUCAGGAAAAAGAUAUUGCAGUUAAACCGGAAGUAUUGUUCAUGAAAAAAAUUUCGAAAACAAAGAUUGUGGUUGUCGGAAUGCGUGCACAAAAAAUUAUAAUGAAGAAGAAAGAAAGAAUAUUUUUGAGAAGUUUUGGGGUUUGGCAGAUUUUAACAAACAAAAUGUAUUACUUCACGAAGCUGUCUGUGAAACGAAGACGUUUUUUUUUCUUCAAUUUGAAACAUCUUAAAUUAUGUUGAAUGGACUUGGGCAUCUUCAAAUUUUAUAAUGAAUCUGGCUGUUAAUUUUGAAAGUGGCCCAACUCCAUUCUAGAUAAGGAAACGCACGUUAUUUACUUAAUAAUUGCCACUAUUUUAACAGGAACUUUAAAUUUAACAUCCUAAGAUAUGCUUUAGCAGUAUGACUCCUUUGUAUCUUAUACGUAUAUUUUUAAAUUCAUUGAAACGCAAAACUUUCCAUAUCUCGAUUUGAAGAUAAAUGGAGUUAGGCCACUUUCAAAAUAAGCGGCUCAAUUAUUAUAUUUAAUAUUGUUAUUAUUUUUAUUUCUCUGUAAUCCGUAGUUUAAUAGACUGCAACAUGGCAGUUGCAGUUUUAUUAUUGAAAUGUUAGCCGCAAUAGGAAGGAUGUUUGUUAUCGCUUCGUUUUAUCGCUAUUAUCUCUUCUAACGUAAAUACAUCUUUAGCUUAAUCGAUCAUCGCCAUAUCAGUUAUUUGGGCUAAAUAAAUAUGUACAUUUCA